AUCUGCAACGUUUUUUCCGGAACCUUCUAGAUACUUUCUCAGAAGCUAUGUUGUUCUUCAUGACUCUUCUUCUGCUCAUUCUUGUAAUGCCCAGCGUUUCAAAGACCUUAUUCAGGAACGACCUGCGAACCAUCAACUGCCCACCUCCUCUGAUUCCAUCCUACAGCCAGUCUUAAGACAGUCUUCCAUCAACUCCAGUGCUGCGAUCUGACAAAAUUAUUACAGGAUCGAGGAAAAUGCUUUGCAGUAUUUCUUCUGACUCUAAACUUUUCAACUCCUGCUGAGAUGGACUUUGCCUUUUAUCCUUUCGCAGUCGAUAAAAUACAGUACUAGUCAAGUACUCGAGUCAAUGAUAUCGACUAACUAGUUCCUCACCAAAUUUCUGACCUUGUACCUAAAUCAGAAACCAUUAGCUAAGUUCAAAUGCCACUGAGAUCAACUUUGCCGUUCAUCCUUUCGGAGUCGAUAAAAUAAAGUAACAAUCAAAUGUUGGGUUCGAAGGAAUCGACUGGCCCCAACUCUUCUACAAA